UCGGGAGCUCUAAGUACAAGGUCUUUGUAACUUUUCUUUCUUUACUGUGCGUCUUAGCCUUAGCGCCGCAACUAAUGUGGCUAUGUUGUAGAGCACAUACUAUUGAUGGACAGGCUUAGUGAAUAAACCAUGACUGGAAUAAGUACUCUAUUAUAUUGUAAAAUGUAAUUUUUAUGUUUUUGAAGGUCCUGCUUUGUUCAAGCUGGGGAACGUUCUGACAAAUAAAAGGCUUCUGAAGGAUGUUGCCAAACUGAGCCCGCACCACCAGACUUCAUCUUUGGAGGCUUUCCACAGCAUCAUCCUUCAUUUUGCACCAAAGAAUGUUUUUUUUUUAAAUAUUUCUUGGAAUGCUGUGCAGACUCUACCUGGCUGCAAUGUUUUAUCAUGAAAACGCUGGCCAACCACAAGCCCAAACCUCUGGUGGACAGCCUCGCUUUAAACUACACUUCCCAAAGUUCUUGAAGGGGGAAGGCAGAUUAAAACCAGUUAAGACUGAGGUAAGUGUUACCUUUAUUUUUCACCUACAAAGUAUGUUAAACAUGUUUUUUUGUUUAAUAUUGCACAGGGUAUGUGGCUGACUUGACGGACCUCGUCUUUGAAAAAGUCUUUGUGGACCCUACAAGGAUGCCGUAUUGAAAAUUCCCAUUCCAGAGGCCAUCGCUGCACAGUAUGAGCGGCCAGACAAGGAGGAGGUCAUAGCCAGAUAUGUGACAAGGUUUAACCAAGGGCUCUAAUUCCAACAUGCGCGAAUGCGAAGAUCCACAGGCUGGAAUGACGACGCUGAUUGUCCGCCCAAGAAGGCCCCAGCACCAGCUCCCAAAGCUCCUGUAACCAUUAAAAGAAUAGGACAGGACAUUUACUCAACAUCUAGCUCUUGCAAACAUCCAUCCUAUCUAUGGUGUCUUUUUUCAUAUGGAUUCAAUGAAUCCUACAAAAUUUCAUUAUCACUGAUGGUAACUGCAUUUUUUUGUCAGAUUAUAUUUUGUGAUAAAACAUAGAACACUGUCUAAUAUGUGUGGGUCUGUGUGAUAAGUGUGUGAAUAAAUGCUAUACAGUAUCUGUAA